ensembl:lncRNA
UUCUCCAGCAGGCCCUGGGUCUGCCCCGAGGCAACACGCCUGAUGCAGCUGAACAGGGUAAUGUGCACCAACCACCCAAACCACCUCAACUGGCUCCUCUUAAUUUGGCUCUAAGCUGAGGUCCUCCCAAAUUGCAGAGCUCCACCAUAUCUCACCAGGCACAUAGAUUGACGAGUAAACAGCUUCGAAUGAAAAUUCCUGCGGUCCUGCUUCAUCACCACACACCGGCACAGCGACUGUAACUGUUAUAGCCAUUAUGCCAUUGUUUUGUGGAGUUGGAAUUUGGGGCUGUUUUUGAUCUGUUUGUUUGGGAUUGUGUUGUGUUUGUGAGGUUUGGUGGUGCAUUUAACGCGGGUUAAUCUUCCAUCAGGUGCGGAUGGAAAUGGAGAGCUGGGAAGCACACCUUUUUUGACCACGCUCCUGCACGCCAAUUCACAAUAAGUCAUUUUACACUAAAUUCAAUAGUAAGGUUUCAUUUCAACAAGUGUUCAUUCAUUAUUUGUUUUUGUCAGGAAAAAUAAAGGUCUUUUUAUCUACGGCAUGCGAGAGAGUGCGUUAAUCCAUCCCUGGUUCAGCCGUUUCCCCUGCAUCGAACAAAUCGCCGAAACAGUAACACUGCUGCUGACCUGAUCCGUUAGUCAAUCUCACGUGCUCUUUUUCAUCAAUUGUCAAUAUUCCAAAGAUUCCAAGAUGUCUUUUCACCUGAAGGGAGCAUCUCACUCUUUUUGGACAUGGAGGUGUUGGUUUUCAUCCCAUCAGUGAAAUGUUCAAAUGCAGCCGAAGUAAUAUGUAAGAGCUUGGAUUGGUUCUCCUAUAAAACUUUAGAUGACAUUUUUCUGAGAAAUACAUUAGCAAAGGAUAUGUGCAAAUAGACAAAUAACUAGAAAUCCUGGCCACCCCAUCCCACUCCUGCAGUCUAACACAAGGAUUAAUUGUGGCAUCCUUAAUUAGUUGCAAAACAUGGCAUCCAGCACAGCUUUUAACAUUCAUACAUCAUCUAUUGUAUAGACAAGACAAGAAACAUUUUUUUUUUUCCCCCUAAACACAGAUUAAGCCUAGCUGUGGCUAGAAUAAACACUGCUGACAGGAAUGUUCUCAUCCCCUCACUUGACUUAUUUUUAGGAAUUCAAACAUUUUAUCA